rnacentral:rRNA from 1 species
UACGUAGGGGGCAAGCGUUGUCCGGAUUUAUUGGGCGUAAAGAGCGUGUAGGCGGCCGUACAGGUCAGCUGUGAAAACUCGAGGCUCAACCUCGAGACGUCGGUUGAAACCGUACGGCUAGAGUCCGGAAGAGGAAAGUGGAAUUCCACGUGUAGCGGUGAAAUGCGUAGAGAUGUGGAGGAACACCAGUGGCGAAGGCGGCCAUCUGGGACAACACUGACGCUGAAGCACGAAAGCGUGGGGAGCAAACAGG